UACGUAGGGGGGCAAGCGUUGUCCGGAAUCAUUGGGCGUAAAGCGCGUGUAGGCGGACUGGAAGGUCUGGUGUGAAAGCCCGGGGCUCAACCCCGGAGGGUCACUGGAAACCGACAGUCUUGAGUCCGGAAGAGGAGAGUGGAAUUCCUGGUGUAGCGGUGGAAUGCGCAGAUAUCAGGAGGAACACCUAUGGCGAAGGCAGCUCUCUGGUACGUGACUGACGCUGAGACGCGAAAGCGUGGGGAGCGAACAGG
rnacentral:rRNA from 1 species